CCUACGGGCGGCAGCAGUGGGGAAUAUUGGACAAUGGGGGCAACCCUGAUCCAGCCAUGCCGCGUGUGUGAAGAGGGCCCUCGGGUUGUAAAGCACUUUCAGUGAGGAAGAACGCCUGGUGGUUAAUACCCAUCAGGAAAGACAUCACUCACAGAAGAAGCACCGGCUAACUCCGUGCCAGCAGCCGCGGUAAUACGGAGGGUGCGAGCGUUAAUCGGAAUUACUGGGCGUAAAGCGCGCGUAGGUGGCUUGAUAAGCCGGUUGUGAAAGCCCCGGGCUCAACCUGGGAACGGCAUCCGGAACUGUCAAGCUAGAGUGCAGGAGAGGAAGGUAGAAUUCCCGGUGUAGCGGUGAAAUGCGUAGAGAUCGGGAGGAAUACCAGUGGCGAAGGCGGCCUUCUGGACUGACACUGACACUGAGGUGCGAAAGCGUGGGUAGCAAACAGGAUUAGAUACCCUAGUAGUC
rnacentral:rRNA from 1 species